GUCGCUCGUUGGUUGACGAGUAAAUACCGAGCCAACCGUAACACACCGAACGAAACAAUACAUUGCUCUUUAAAGAAAAUGGCCUUUGAAUUACCUUUUUUGGUGACGCUGAUAAGGGCUGAUUUACAGGGCUCUUUAUUAGCGGCUCCGUUCCGGUGCUGCUACUCCACCCUAUCUCCUGGGAUGGAGCGAAGGCAUAACGAAAAUUAAAAAGGCAACAUCAAAAACAGGACCGGAUUUAGUCAAAGUGGUUAUUUUAAUAUAGGGAUUAGAUGGAUAUGUUAUUUGGUAAAAAUUCAGUUAUAUUAAAAGUUAA